UAUUCUGCCCCAUGGGGAAGGAUGAGAAGCUUCGACUAAGGUUCGACUCGAGCGCAGCGAGAGAACGUUGCCGCAGGCAA
rnacentral:sRNA from 1 species